UAGCGAUWGCUAUUUGUGUAUAUWGUACGCAAAAUCAACUAUGUUGAAUAAAGUUCUGGUUAGAUUUUGAUUAUGACAUUAUCUAACCAUGUGUCUUGACCAAAUUACGUGCCAGCWRUCGCGGUAAUACGUAGAAGACUAGUGUUAUUCAUCUUUAAUAGGUUUAAAGGGUACCUAGACGGCAAAUCAAGCCAUAGUAGGGACUAGUUUGCUAGAGUUAAGUAUAUAAGGGGGCNAUAAAAGUACUAAUGGUGUAGAGAUAAAAUUUUAAAAUACCUUUUUUAUAAGAACGGUAUUGGAAACAG
rnacentral:rRNA from 1 species